UGAGGAAUAUUGGUCAAUGGGCGGGAGCCUGAACCAGCCAAGUCGCGUGAAGGAAGAAGGAUCUAUGGUUCGUAAACUUCUUUUGCAGGGGAAUAAAGUGCAGGACGUGUCCUGUUUUGUAUGUACCCUGAGAAUAAGGAUCGGCUAACUCCGUGCCAGCAGCCGCGGUAAUACGGAGGAUCCGAGCGUUAUCCGGAUUUAUUGGGUUUAAAGGGUGCGUAGGUGGUUUGAUAAGUCAGCGGUGAAAGUUUGCAGCUUAACUGUAAAAAUGCCGUUGAAACUGUCGGACUUGAGUGUAAAUGAGGUAGGCGGAAUGCGUGGUGUAGCGGUGAAAUGCAUAGAUAUCACGCAGAACUCCGAUUGCGAAAGCAGCUUACUAAGCUACAACUGACACUGAAGCACGAAAGCGUGGGGAUCAAACA
rnacentral:rRNA from 1 species